CGUGCCAGCAGCCGCGGUAAGACGGAGGGGGCAAGCGUUGUCCGGACUCACUGGGCGUAAAGCGUGCGUAGGCGGUACGGAGCGUCGCCACUGAAAGCUCCCGGCUCAACCGGGUGAGGUGUGGCGAUACGGCCGAACUAGAGGCAGGGAGAGGUGUGCGGAAUUCCGGGUGUAGUGGUGAAAUGCGUAGAUACCCGGAGGAACGCCGGUGGCGCAAGCGGCGCGCUGGCCCUGACCUGACGCUGAGGCACGAAAGCGUGGGGAGCGAACCGGAUUAGAUACCCGGGUAGUCCACGCAGUAAACGAUGUCGGCUCGGUGUGCAGCGGUGAACUUCACCGCCGCGUGCCCAAGCAUACGCGGUAAGCCGACCGCCUGGGGACUACGAGCGCAAGCUUAAAACUCAAAGGAAUUGACGGGGGCCCGCACAAGCAGCGGAGCGUGUGGUUUAAUUCGAUGCAACGCGAAGAACCUUACCCAGGUUUGACAUGCAGCUGCAAGCGCACAGAAAUGUGUGACCUUCGAGGGUGCUGCACAGGUGCUGCAUGGCUGUCGUCAGCUCGUGUCGUGAGAUGUUGGGUUAAGUCCCGCAACGAGCGCAACCCUUGCCGUCAGUUACAAGUGUCUGGCGGGACUGCCCUCUAUUCGAGGGAGGAAGGCGGGGAUGACGUCAAGUCAGCAUGGCCCUUACGCCUGGGGCGACACACACGCUACAAUGUCGGCGACAAUGCGUCGCGACCGCGCAAGCGGCAGCUAAUCGCCAAACGCCGACCCAGUGCAGAUCGGGGGCUGCAACUCGCCCCGGAAGGCGGAGU
rnacentral:rRNA from 1 species